rnacentral:rRNA from 1 species
AGUGGAUGGGGAGCAACCUAGUUGUGCGUGUGUAAAGGUAGUGCCAAGAAAAGCGGUGAUCAUGAUGAAAAUCAAUUCCCGGUACCCGAAACCGACACAGGUGGGCAAGUAGAGAAUACUAAGGGGCGCGAGGUAACUCUCUCCAAGGAACUCGGCAAAAUGACCCCGUAACUUAGGGAGAAGGGGUGCCACCGAGAGGUGGUCGCAGUGAAGAGGCCCAGGCGACUGUUUAGCAAAAACAUAGGUCUCUGCAAACUCGAAAGAGGAGGUAUAGGGGCUGACGCCUGCCCAGUGCCGGAAGGUUAAAGAAGUUGGUCAGUCUUAGGAUGAAGCUAGCGACUGAAGCCCCGGUGAACGGCGGCCGUAACUAUAACGGUCCUAAGGUAGCGAAAUUCCUUGUCGGGUAAGUUCCGACCCGCACGAAAGGCGUAACGAUCUGGGCGCUGUCUCGGAGAGAGGCUCGGCGAAAUAGGAUUGUCUGUGAAGAUACGGACUACCUGCAUUUGGACAGAAAGACCCUAUGAAGCUUUACUAUAGCUUGGAAUUGUGUUCGGGCUUCCUGUGCGCAGGAUAGGUGGGAGGCGUAGAAGGUAUUCUUGUGGGGAUACUGGAGCCAACGGUGAGAUACCACUCUCAGGAGGCUAGAAUUCUAACUUAAUUAAGGACAGUUUCAGGUGGGUAGUUUGACUGGGGCGGUCGCCUCCAAAAAGGUAACGGAGGCGUACAAAGGUUCCCUCAGACUGGUUGGAAAUCAGUCGAAGAGUGCAAAGGCAGAAGGGAGCUCACUGCGAGAAGUACAGUUCGAGCAGGGUGGAAACACGGUCUUAGUGAUCCGACGGUGCUGUGUGGAAGGGCCGUCGCUCAACGGAUAAAAGUUACUCUAGGAUAACAGGCUGAUCUCCCCCAAGAGUUCACAUCGACGGGGAGGUUUGGCACCUCGAUGUCGGCUCAUCGCAACCUGGGGCGGAAGUACGUCCCAAGGGUUGGGCUGUUCGCCCAUUAAAGCGGUACGUGAGCUGGGUUCAGAACGUCGUGAGACAGUUCGGUCCAUAUCCGAUGUAGGCGUGAGAAUAUUGAGAGGAGCCUUCCUUAGUACGAGAGGACCGGGAAGGACGCACCGCUGGUGUACCUGUUAUGAUGCCAAUUGUAAACGCAGGGUAGCCAAGUGCGGAGAGGAUAACCGCUGAAAGCAUCUAAGUGGGAAGCCCACCUCAAGAUGAGUAUUCUGGUGUAAGGUCACGGGAAGACGACCCGUAAAUAGGCACGAGGUGGAAGUGCAGAGAUGUAUGAAGCCGAAGUGUACUAAUAGACCGUCGGCUUGACC